CAAAUUUUCGGCGGCGGCGGCGCUAGUUUUUGGUGAUUUUUCGGAGGCGUCGACCUCUGGUGUGUACUUACGUCAUUUGUUGGAUUACCAAAGUCCUUGAAGUGUUUAGAUGGGGGCUUAACAUUAUUAGCUCACCCUGCGCAGCAUGAGAGCUAUUGAAUUCCUCUUGUCCGUCUGUCCGUCUGUCUGUCUGUCUGUCUGUCUGUUCACGAGUUUUUUGUAUCAAUUGAUGCUAAUUAAUAAGUCCCAACACCAUUUUAACUCAAAUUAGUAGCACAAUUGGUAUGCAAUAAUCUAUGUCAAAAUUGGGUAACAAUUUUUUCCGCUUACUUUCCACCAUUGCACAGUGGGCCAGGGACCCCAAAAUAUGGCCGUUAAGGCAGUACCAUUAUUUGGCUUUACAAGUAUGGCAUCCUACUCUUUGUGACCAACUUGACCUUGGUCUAAAAUAUUAAGGCACAUAUUAAAGCCAAUCGGAUAAACGAAGCAGUUAAAGUAUGCCUAAUACAUUACGGAGAUAGGGAUUUUACAUCUUUCAACAUUCCCGCCCAUUCCCGUGCAUCUAUGACUAACUACUGGCGUCAUUAAUUAGAUAAUAUUGGUGGGAUCAUACACUGCUGCGACCAGCUGCGACCAUGAGGUACCCUUACCACCACACCCAUUCUCAGUUAAAGAAAUAGAUAAAAUAUGUUCGAAUUGAAUUGAAUUUAUCAAACUUCUGAUCCCUUAGCCGUUAUUAACUAUUGAUGGAAUUACUUACUAAAAAAUAACUCGACACGAAGGUCACACCCCAGGUCCCAGGUCUCCCCAUGUCACACCCCAAUAGUGGGUGUGGUUCUCAGAAAUUACUCGGUAUUACCUAAAACAUGGCUUGUAAGGUAUCAUUUUCUCAGGUAAAUGAGAAGAUCCCGAUUUAAUAAUUAAAAAUAGUAAGCCACACCCCCAGUGGGUGUGGUGCCCAGCAACUUUUCAAUGUUAAUAAAACCAAGGUGUGUGACAUUUUUCAAUUUUUCUAUUUUCUCAACUCAAUGAGCUGAUCUCGACCGAAUAACUAAAAUUUAUAUACCACACCCACGGUGGGUGUGGCUGACUUUAAGAAAACAGUGUUAAUCAGUAUGUCGUUCCACAUAAUCUAGUCUUAAAUCACUAAUUUUCAAAAUCAGAAUUAUGUAUGAUCACCAUUGGUAAUGCAUAAUUUCACAUUUCACAUUUUGACCAUCAUAAUUGACUUGUUACUAAGAUCAUAAAAUUAAAAUAUGCGAACAUUUUCAUGGUCUUUAAAAUGAUAUUGUCGCAAGUUAUUUCAAAAUUUCGAGCCCAUCGAUAGGUGCAAGUAACGCUGGAAUGUUAACAAUAUGACGAGGAGGUAACCAUAAAAUUUGUGGGCGCAGCCGGAAUUGGGUCAAAAUUUGUGCCGUCCUUUGUCAACACAGUUCUAGCAAUUAGUUAACCAAAAAAUAUGAUAUCGACUCUCUAAUCAAGUUGUCCUUCAUACAAAGUAUAGAAUCGAAUCACAUGCUAAAGUCAAACGGAUAAACAAUGGGGCAACAUAAUUUCGUAUGCAUCCAACCCCACCUAUUGGCGCCACUCAUAACAAAAAGCAUUGCAUAAAACAGUAUAUAGUAUACAUGUAACCAGCUGCUAGCAGUUCAACAAUUGCUAUCGCACCCGGUGUUUGUCGAAAUAAUAACAAAAAUAUUGUAUCACUAAAAUUAACUUUGUUAAGCUUCUGUCCUCCUAAACGAGUCUAACAGAUAGGAUCCGAAUUAUAUAUAGCUAAGCAGUACAAGACUUGUGUAGGUAAGUCAAUUUUAAAUACCAAAAACCUAGGUAAUCAUUUGUUUAAUCUGUUUGACUUUAACUAUACUUUAAUUAAUUACAUACAUAAUUAAUUAAUCAAUUAAUCAAUUAUGUAAUUAAUUAAUUAAGAUCUAAGCUCAAGUAUUUCUUAUUUUGUCUACAAGUGUUGUCUCCUCUUUUAUCCAACGAGAUGAUAAUAAUGUGGUUAUGUUUGUCUAUUAGAUAAUGGAUGGACUUCAACAAUCAUCAUUUUUAAAGAAGCGAGAUGUAGUGGAUCAGUUUACGUCGGAUGAAAAUACUACAAAUAUUGAAAAUGCAGUUUCUUUUAUUUUAUCUAAAUUGAGCAUCGAAGUAUUUGACAUUAGGAAUAGUAGCCUUGAGGAACUUCGGCGAAGUGUGACAAAUCUACAAUACAGAUAUGAUGAAAGAUGGAAGGCUGCAAGUCGUAAUUUGAAAGCAGAAACGCUGAUUGGCUGGAGUCUGAGUUCAAGCUGCCAGAUUUGUCGAUGGAAGCUCCAGGAGGGAGGGCUACCACAAAUCUGCCGAGGAAGACCAAAUUUACCAUUUAAUCAACAAUCUGCAAGGACUCAGAGAAGGGCAGCUGCUGACCUCAGUUCAGCAGAAGGAAAUAAUCCAAAUAAAAUAUUGAGAGCUGCGCAAAUUGCUGCCAAACGGAGUGGAAAGAAGGACUUGGCUGUUAUUAUCAGUGAAACAUUAAGGAGUCCGGCCCGCCCGUCCAAGAUUCGAAGAAAACUAUUCUCAAAUCCAGUUGAAAUGGCUAAAUUCAGCCCAGAAGAAGCUCUCUCCCUAAUUUUGGACUUAUCCCUCUCCAAAGAACAGUAUACUGUUAUCAGGAACAGUGCCAAACUAAAAGGAGCAGAUAUCUACCCUAGUUAUAAUCAGGUCAGAAAUGCAAAGGGAAAUUGCAGACCGGAUAGUGAUUCAAUUCAAGUGACCGAAACCAUGGCACAAGUAUCCCUCCAGGGCGUUCUGAACCAUACAGCGAAGAGAAUUGUCCACUUGCAACGAGAAUGCAUUAUUGCAGAUAUGGGCGGAGAAUUUACAAGAACGUUGGAAGCUAAUUUAGUAUGUUCAUGGGGAUUUGACGGCAGCUCAGGUCAUUCAGAUUAUGCCCAGAAAUUCAUCUCUGCCGGAUCACAAGGUUGUCAUGACAACAACCUAUUUGCCACUACUUUAAUUCCCCUACGUCUAAUAUCUCCAUCUGGCACAAUUCUGUGGAACAACAGAACCCCGCAAUCAGUUCGUUUUUGCAGACCAAUAAACUUCAAUAUAUAAAAGAGUCGGAAACUUUGGUGAGAACGGAAAAGGCAUCAAUGGAUUCUCAAAUUUCAAAUUUACAAACCACUGAAAUUCUGCUGCAAGACGAUACAACCUUGAUCGUUCACUUCUCGCUCUUCAUGACUUUGAUUGAUGGAAAAGUACUCAAUUAUAUCACGGGAACCAAGUCUAUGCAAACUUGCCCAUUAUGCAGAGCUACUCCAAAAUUGUUCAAUGAUCUUAGCAACAUUGGGAAAGAUGUGUUUGAACCUGAACCAGAGUCAUUGCAGUACGGAAACAUCCCCCUACACGCUUGGAUUCGACUCUUUGAAUGUUUAUUGCACAUUUCCUACAAGAUCAACCACAGGAAAUGGCAAGCCCGAACGACGCAUGAAAAGUUAGAAGUGCAAAGCAGGAAGAAAGAGGUCCAAACCUAAUUUUAAAAAAGCUGGGGUUAAACGUUGACCUACCUAAACCUGGUGGAAGCGGAACAACUAAUGAUGGAAAUACAGCUCGGCGGGCUUUCGAGGAUGCUGAAGUACUUGCAAAUAUACUUCGCAUCGAUACUCAACUAAUCAAGAAUUUCCAUAUUAUUCUUAUUGCCUUAUCGUGUCAGUUUCCACUUGACCCUGUCAAGUUCGGAAAUUUAGCCAGGACAACAGCUCAACUGUACGUUGAAAUCUACCCAUGGUAUCCCAUGCCAGCUACUGUUCACAACAUUCUAAUUCAUGGACCUCAGGUAAUUCUCAAUAGUUUGUUACCUGUUGGAAUGUUAGGAGAGGAUGCAGCUGAGUCCCGAAAUAAGUACUACAAGACGUUCCGGCUCUCACAUUCACGGAAAUUUAGUAGAGCAGCUAAUCUCAAUGACGUUUUCAUGCGAUCCAUGGAUACUUCAGACCCCAUUAUUUCCAGCUUGAGCCUCAACUCAAGGAUAUGCAAAAGAAAACGUUUGGCGAUCCCAAAAGAGGUUGUGGAUUUACCAGCCGGCCAUGAACGGCGUUUCUGAUGUUGUUAUGCAUUUAGAUGAGCUCGAGUUAUCUGAUGAUGAAAUUGAGUGACCAAUUCAUUACUUUUCAUCGAAAAUACAUUUGGUAAAUAAAAAAUAUAAAACUAUGUAUGUCUAUCUUAAUAACUCAUUAGCUAUGUUAGUAAGUUGUCUGUUACACAAUAUUUCAUUUUUCAAGAUCCCUGCUACACAAAUAUAAUUAUACGCAAUGAGUGUAAGAUGUUUCUAUUGUUUUAUUUAUUGUAUUUAACGUAGCCAUAUCUUUAUAUUUAAUUUGGUUUCAUACACUUGCACUUCUCUAGCCCAUAUAAUUUUAAGGGUAAUCCCUGAUAAAGCAUGCUAACUUUGCGCAGCAUUAUGGGCCAUAAAUUAAAGCACGACUUGUUUUUCUAUUAUCAAUUGUUUGUCUGAGUACAUUGGCAUUAUUAAUGGUACCGCUUUCAGGCUUGGGCAGGAUACUUUUUUUAAGAUACAAGAUACAAGAUAAAGAUAUUUUUGAAAAAAAUCCAAGAUACUAGAUAAAGAUACUUUAUUCCCUGCUUUUGCUACAGAUACUUAGAUACUAAGUAAAAGAUACUUUUUAGUAUUUGUUAAGAUACAAGAUACAAGAUAAGAUAAAGUAUCUUAAAUAUUCCACAAGAUACAAGAUACUUUUGAUUUUUUUUUUAAUUUAAAAAAGAUAUGUAAAAUUUCAUAUUUUUUGCCAUUUAGGCAUCGCCAGUAAAAUGAAAGUCUUACUAUUGAGUAGUUAGACAUUUAAAAACACCUUUCACUAGCAAAAAUAACACUCAUAUUUUCUUACAAAUUACAAUUACUACCUCAUAAAUCAUAAGAAAAUCGAACUUUAGAUGUCGCGAGAAGCAUAUUUUGCAAAAAGUAUCUUGUAUCUUAAAAAGUAGCUUAGAUACUUUCCUCUUGAUGGAAAAUAUCAGAUACAAGAUACAAAUACAAGAUACUCAUUGAGGAUUUUCCAGAUACAAGAUACAAGAUACUUUGAGCUGGGGCGGCUGGAAGAUACAAGAUACGAGUAGUAUCUUGUAUCUUGUAUCUAGUAUCUUGUAUCUUAAAGUAUCUAUCUUGCCCAAGCCUGACCGCUUUCAGAAAUCACUAACCAAGUUUUGUAACCUAAAUUGAGGUUCGGAAGGCUAAUUUAUUUAUUUCAGCCUUAAUUGUAUUUUUGGCUAAAAAUUUUGAUACCUGGCCAACUGAACCUUUUGUUAAGUCGAAAAGGCGCCGACAACCACCCCGAUUUUGGGUGUGGUUUAUCAGUUUUAGUUAUUCGGUCCAGAUCCGCUCAUCGAGCUGAGAAAUAUGACGGUUUUGAUUGCGUGUUCAACUCAAAUUUGAAUUAGUAAAAAAGUUUUCUUUUAUAAUUUUAAGGCUAUAUCAAAAACGAUGGAAAGAAAACAUUCUCAAAAAUUACUAAAAAUAAAAUUACUAAAAAUGUAUAGCUUUGUAUGCUAUUUCGUAAUUUUGAAAAAUUUAGCAAUAAAUUGUGAAAAAGUACAAUUUUUCAAAGUAGGUUUUUCUUAAUUUACGUAAUGCGAUUCACAUAUUUUGUCGAAAUCCCCUCGCUUAGUUUGGAGAAAUGACGUAUUACAUGACAUAACAUUGUUUAGUUAAAAUCGAAAAGUUGCUGAACGCUGAUUUUAUGCAUUCCGUUGAAACCCCCUGUUGAGCUGAGAAAAAUGAUACAACAUAUGGCAUGGUUUGAAUAAAAUCGAAAAUUUUCUGGAAACCACACCAACUGGGGGUGCGGUUUAUAAAUUUUAAUUAUUCUGUCGAGUUGCCCUCGCUGAGCUGAGAAACAUGACAUAACACAUGGCAUGGUUUUAUUAAAAUCCAAAGUUUUCUGAGAACCACGCCCACUGGGGGGUGCGGUUUCCUAAUUUUGGGUAUUCCGUCGAGUCCCCCUUGUCGAGCUGAGAAAAAUCAUAUAUCACAUGAUAUGCUUUCGCAAAGAUCGACAAUUUUCUUAGAACCACGCCCACUGGGGGUGCGGUUUCCCAAGUCUAGGUGUUUCAUGGAAACCACCUCGUCGAGCUGAGAAAAAUGAUAUAUCACAUGCCAUGGUUUCGUUAAAACCGAAAAGUCGCAAAGGGUCACACCCACUAUGGGUGUGGCAUGUGACUAUUAAAAAUUUCCUCAUAUAACAUAUGCCUUAGGUUAUUGUUGUGCAUCAAAAUCUAAUGCUUGUUUCAUCAAAUUCGGCUCCUAUAUAUUUAUGGCCAAAAUUUAUUAAAUCUGGCCCACUGUGCAGGGUUUUAAUCAGAAAAAGCCAACCUGGGGGUUUAAUGGUUUUAAUGGGUUUUGCUGGACAUUGUGGGGUUUUGGUAAUAGUUUCAAAAAAUUUCCCAAGGAUUACAAAAGCAGUUCCAAGUUAUGUAUACAUUAUCCUAGUCCAUAUUACGAUUGUGGUAUGUAUGCAUUUUCGAUUUACAUUAUGUAUGUAUGACAGUAUUAAAGAAAUAAAUUUUAUAUCAGCAUCGAUAUAAGUUUGGCUUGCGUAUGAGAGAUACUCUUAACUUUGGAAAGUAUUUAGUUUAAGGUGAGGUUGCGAUUAGUUACGAAUUUUAAUGAGCUAUUGAAAAAUGCCGGAUUUUUAUGUUUACCAAAAUGUUUCUGAAAAAUUGCAACACGUCGAUUUGUCCGAUCUGUGAUUUAAGCACCUUGUAUCAUAAAAAAUUUCGGAACAUCGUUUCUGAUAGACAAUUGCAUGGGGGAUUCAAUAAAAAAUAGUACAGCUGGCUAACGUAACUGCUACUGAUGUUUUUGGCACGCGGAAUGCGUGAGACAUAAUAUAUGGCAGCAGUAGGUAGGUGAUGACCACUAAUAAACCCAAAUAAAUCUCAUUGUCAGUUAGUAUGGCAAAUUGCAUAGGGUCCGUUCUUAAAUUGAUUUUCUCGACCCCCCCCCCCCACACCUUUUAACAUGACGUACAUACAUAGGCACGAUAUCAUUGGGGCCUAAACCCCCUCCCCCCUUCAAGCGUUACGUAAUUUAAGAACAGGAGUUUUAUUUAUUUUAACCUAUUGAAACUAAUUAAAACCCAAAAGUCAACCCCAAUAAAACCCUGUCUCAGACAGGCUGUCUGAAUACCCAGAUUUUAAUAAUGCAAGUUGUAAUUGGUAUAUGCCUUUGUUCAAUUUUUUAAAACUUGUUAAAGUACUUCUAAAUUGGGUUGACGUGUGAAGAUAUGUAUUUAUAUUUUAUGGGCAAGUUUAAACUUUGACUUUCAGUUUUUCAGACCUGUUUUUAGGAAAUAAACUAAUUUUUUAAAACAAACCCGAGUAGUGCUCCGCAUCAGUUACAAUCCGGUUCCCGAGCUUGAUUCCAGCCCCAAUAUAUUGGGCUUUGGCUCUGACCCAACCAGAAUGAAUCUGGCUCCGUCUAAAUGCAGAUUCAUGCCAUGUACUAAAACGUAGCAUUCCGAUUCCUGUGUAACAUGCAUAAUUAAAGAACCAGCGUCCAUCAUGCGUCAAAAUACUUUUUGCCCUUGUGUAAGUCACGAUUUAUUGUGCGAUAUUUAACCAAACAUAUGUUCCCAAGCUUCAGGUUAAAUGCGGAUAAGCCAUUUAUUCAAGGGUUUUAUGAGUUUGACGUAAUGUUCUUCGGCAGCCGUGAAGAUUAUCCAAACUUAAAGCAUAUGUACAUAUUUAUGUAGCUUAAUCACUUGAAUUUGCUUACGCCGUAAAGUUCUUUUUAUUACGGGCUAAGACUGCGCACAUGUUGACAAAUAUGUAGGCUAACAACCCAAUGGGUAUUUGAUAAUACUUUUCGACAACAGCACAGGUUAUCACAGCUUCAACCGUAGCUUAAUCCACUUGGAUUUAUUUGUUUAAUAAACUCUUUACUACGGUCCAAGAUCCCCCACCAGUUGGCAAGUAGAUAAUUUGAUAAUUCAAUGGUUAUUUGGUAAUUUUUUUCGGCAACAACACAGGUUAUCAAAACUUCGGGGAUUAUUUAAUUCCCUUGGAUUUACAUUCUCAGUAAAGUCUUUUUAUUACGGUUCAAUACAAGACUUCUCAGCUUUUGACAAGUAAGCUGAUAAUCCGGUGGGUCUUUAAUAAAACUUUCCGGCAACAGUACAGGUUAUCACUACUUCAACCAUAGUUUAAUCCACUUGAAUUUAGCUUGAUCAGUAAAAUCUUGUUUAUUACCGUCAAGAUUUCCCACCUGUUGGUAAGUAAGCUGAUAAUCCAAUGGUUAUUUGGUGAAAAGUAUAUAUAUACUUAGGCUGACACACUGCCGGUAUCACAGUUGGUCAUUGUAACUUUGACUUGACAGCCUUACAUAAGCACAUUAAAUUUAAAACGUUAUGGAUACCUUUAAAUUUUUUCGAUUGAUGGCGACAUGUUUCUUGCUGGGGACAAUUUUGAAUUCGUGUAAAUCUACAGAGAUAGCAGAGAUGGAGUACCUUGGACACCACAAAGAAUUAUUCGGGGAGCAGGAAAAUUAUCGGCACUACUACGUCAGUGCAAGCGCG